rnacentral:lncRNA from 1 species
CCAAAUCCAUAAGAUUUAAUUGAAAAACAAUCAGCACCAAAUUCCAUUCACAUCUUCAUUUUUGUAAGUUGCUCAAAUCUGACUCCCACAUCAUUAGCAAACAGUGUUAAACUGGCUACUUUACAAUCGGACCUAAUAUUGAAAGGAUAUUCUUUUUCCCAUCUUUCAGAAGGACAAUUUCCAUUUUUCCCAAAACACCAGCUCAAACUUCUUCUCACAACCAGGCAAGCUAAAGGAAAUAAGCUUCAAGUUUCCAAAGGGGAUCACAAAUAGAGAACAUAAGCAGCAAUAGUUUAAGAGCAAUGAAACGAUCACGAAACCAAACAAAACUUCAAUUAUUCACAUCAAAAUCUGAUAGACUUAGGUGACAAUACCAUAAAUUGAGCAUAUUCAAACAUAGGAGAAAGAUCACUCUAAAUCAUCAUCCUAAUGACUUACAAUCAUUCUUGAACUUCAAACUUCCAUUACACUAUGUUUAAACGGUGCAGUUGCAAAAUUCAUUAUCCAAACAAAGUUUUACACGUUAUCUCGUAUUCAACAUGCUUGCUAAUAUUUCAAUUGUAUUUAAGGUUAAGUUUGAGCUGAUAAACAUACAAUAAACCUGAGGUGACUUAAUGACAAAACAACAGUAACUCGAAUCAGGGAACUUGGUCUGAUUUAAUCAUGUAUUCAUUAUCAAAGAUGUAUUCAGAAGACUUUUCCAUAAAGAAACACUUCCGAACAUGAUGCUUAGGAAGAAACAACCAAACAACAGAACUAAGAAUUUUUAAAGGUAACUACAUCAUGCUUCAACUUGAUGAAUUUUAAAGCAUUCUAACAUAUCAAUAUUCCAAUUUUCGUAUGAUCACCUAAUCCAUUAAACUUAAUUGACAGUAAAUGAGCAGAUGCUCAACUUCAAGAACCAACCAAUCUCUUGGAAAUGCAAGCAAAGAAUCAGUCGCUUGAACUUAAUUAUCAAGCAUGAAAUCAACCAAACUCUAAUCAUUUAACUUAAAUCCAAACAGAUCCUAGCAACAAUUGUUUAUCGAAACAUUAAAGACCCAGUAGAUUAACCAUGACUAUUAUCAUAUUCAAAUCAACACUAACAUGAGGUAGUAAAAGAAGAAAGGGAUGAACCUGAGAUGAUGCCUUUUUUGUAAUGGAUUCUGUUAAAUCAUGCGGCUACAAGCGAAUUCAGGAAUGAAAUUCGAAUCAACAACUGAGCACUAAGAGCUCGAAUAGUAAUCGAAUUUGAACAGAACCACGAACCGACAAACUCAAGCAUACUCCAAUUCAAAAUUCCAACACAAACUUAACGGCAUGUCUCGAACCAGCAAAUUUAUUUUGGUAAAAACUCAAGCAGAGACAUAAAUAACCAAAUCUGAAGAUGAAGUUUCAAUCAAUUUGAUAUGAAAAAAACACAACAGUUGAAGCUCGAAAACAGCCGCGAAAUUCAGUGACAAGAACCGACGGAACUCUGAACCUCGAAGGCACUCAGUGGACAACGAUAAUUCAAACCAAAAACUUAGGAAACAAAAUCUCUGUUAGGAGAGUUUUUCUUCAAUAUAACAGUGGAAAGAAAUCAGCAAAUACACAACCCUUGAUUCCGAAAUCCAACGAGAAAGAACAGAAUUUUUCAAAUAGAACUCGACCUGGAACCUCGAGCGAAAGCUUCAACUUGAACUAGGAAUGGACAUAUGAGUGACCUCAUUUUUUAUCUCUUCGAGGCUAAUAGCCUUCUCCAUCUCUAAUAGGGGGGAAAAACAAAGCGUGAGCUAGGGCUUGUUUCAGCGAUGGAUCCCUGCUUCGCUAACUCUGUAGCUAGCGAAUCGAAGAUAAAGAAGAGAAGCAGCGGCGCUGGUGGUCGUUGUGGUGGUGUGACGGCUGGAGGGGGUCUUUUUUAGUUUUUUUGCGUGUGAUCUUCUGAAGGUUAGAGAUGGUCGCCUUUUUUGUUUUGAAGGGUCUCCAGGUUAGGGAAAGUCCGA